ensembl:lncRNA
GGCCUGUCCACAUAAUACUUUAUCACAGGUUGGUCCAUGUAACACUGUAUCACAGGCCUGUCCACAUAAUACUUUAUCACAGGUUGGUCCAUGUAACACUGUAUCACAGGCCUGUCCACAUAAUACUUUAUCACAGGUUGGUCCAUGUAAUACUGUAUCACAGGCCUGUCCACAUAAUACUUUAUCACAGGUCUGUCCAUGUAACACUGUAUCACAGGCCUGUCCACGUAAUACUUUAUCACAGGUCGGUCCAUGUAAUACUGUAUCACAGGCCUGUCCACGUAAUACUUUAUCACAGGUGUGUCCAUGUAAUACUGUAUCACAGGCCUGUCCACGUAAUACUUUAUCACAGGUGUGUCCAUGUAAUACUGUAUCACAGGCCUGUCCACUUAAUACUGUCACAGGCCUGUCCACUUAAUACUGUCACAGGUCUGUCCAUGUAAUACUGUAUCACAGGUCUGUCCAUGUAAUACUGUAUCACAGGCCUGUCCACUUAAUACUGUCACAGGCCUGUCCACGUAAUACUGUCACAGGUCUGUCCAUGUAAUAAUGUCACAGGUCUGUCCAUGUAAUACUAUCACAGGUCUGUCCAUGUAAGACUGUCACAGGUCUGUCCAUGUAAUACUGUCUCAGGUCUGUCCAUGUAAGACGGUCACAGGUCUGUCCAUGUAAUACUGUAUCACAGGUCGGUCCAUGUAACACUGUAUCACAGGUCUGUCCAUGUAACACUGUAUCACAGGUCUGUCCAUGUAAUACUGUAUCACAGGUCUGUCCAUGUAACACUGUAUCACGGGUCUGUCCAUGUAAUACUGUAUCACAGGUCUGUCCAUGUAAUACUAUAUAUCACAGGUCUGUCCAUGUAAUACUAUAUAUCACAGGUCUGACCAUGUAAUAAGCAGGGAGUCAGUGGAUAGAAGGGGAGACGAGAGAAGACCGGAGAAUGAUUGGAAGACAGAACAGGGUGGUGAUGUCAUUACAACCUGAACGGCAGUUCCUUCUAAGAAGCUCUAGUGUGUACUGUAGUAGAAGGGAUUCUUAUCUCCCCCUUACCUCACGUUCAGUGUCUCCCCACCCCUCUCCUUGCCCCCCCCCCCCUUUCCCUCUCCCUUUCUCUUUCUUUCUCCCUGCUUGGGAGGUGAAAGGAGCUCAGGCUGUAGAUGAAUAAAUGAGUGAGUGUGUGAGGAGACUACUGGCUGAGGACAUCAUGGUGAUGUGUUUUC